AUACGUAGGGGGCGAGCGUUGUCCGGAAUGAUUGGGCGUAAAGGGCGCGUAGGCGGCCUGUUAAGUCUGGAGUGAAAGUCCUGUUUUCAAGAUGGGAAUUGCUUUGGAUACUGAUGGGCUUGAGUGCAGGAGAGGUUAUCGGAAUUCCCGGUGUAGCGGUGAAAUGCGUAGAGAUCGGGAGGAACACCAGUGGCGAAGGCGGGUAACUGGACUGCAACUGACGCUGAGGCGCGAAAGUGUGGGGAGCAAACAGGAUUAGAUACCCUGGUAGUCCACACUGUAAACGAUGAGUGCUAGGUGUAGGAGGUAUCGACCCCUUCUGUGCCGCAGUAAACACAGUAAGCAUUCCGCCUGGGGAGUACGGUCGCAAGAUUAAAACUCAAAUGAAUUGACGGGG
rnacentral:rRNA from 1 species